AUCUAAAUGGUUAUCAUUUUUGGGAUGUUUCCGCAUGUGUGAGAUAUGCCACCCUUGAACCUUGUUAGGACAUCAGCACAUUACUCAUCUGAGG
ensembl:snoRNA